AUCUGGGUUUUCCAUGCAUACAGAAAAUUAUCAUAAAGCCUACUAUUCACUUCAGUUAUAUUUAGCAGAUUCUGGCAAAAUAGUAUGUCAUCCGGGUAUUCCAUGCAUGCUAAGCACAUAAUGUAUACUGCAGAAAUAGUGCGAGUAGUAUAAUAGUAUGGCAUUUCGAACACAGCAAGUGACAACUCCUAUGGUGACAACCGCGAAACCGGAAACUGAAACUAGUUUUUCCAUUGGUCGCUGAACUGAGAAGUCUUGAUUUAAUGUUUUGUGGUGCUAACUAAACUUAGUCUAGAAAUCAGACUUCGCGUGCAACAAUAGCAGAAAUCGCAAUUCUCGUUCGGAUCGGAUGCGUUGAACACCAGUCUAUUUAAAGGUAUAUCAGUGUGAAAUCAAAAUCUUUCCAAACACCUCCUGGAGACAUAAAUGGCCGGCGACGUUCACACUUGGGGAGUUUUAGAAGCAGAUCAAUGGGUGAGGCAGAGGGUCAAAUCGAUGGAUACAAGUCUAUAUUUUAGGAAAGUUGAUCAGCCUUGGAGGCCGCGUGUUUUCUCUGUGCGUGUGAAAUACGGCAGACAGAGGAGGAUAGUCACAGAUGAGUUUGAUAUUCUGCUUGAAAAAGGGAUGAAGAGGAUGUGUAACGAUAGACCAGCAUUACAGUCACAGAUACAGCGCUUCAUCUGGAGCCAUCAAGAGUCUGACGCAGACGCAGAGAGGAGACACUAAAGGGAAACUAAAGCUUCCCCCAACACUGCAAACUAUGCACCUUCUUCAGUCUGAUUUCAAGAUGUUUACAAGAAAAUUGCAUAUACGUUAGAUAAAUGACUCAAGCUCUAGACACUUAAAGGUGCUGUCAUUUAUUGACUGUCAUAAAGCUUAAAAGUACCAUGGUAUGUGUGCGGAUAUUUAGGACACAUGCUAAGCUCACAUGAUUGUUGUUUUUGUCUUCUCAAGAAACAACACUACAGCCAGUGAUUCUGCUUCGAAAUGCGUGUUCAGUGACAGAAUGUCUGUUUUUGAUUUGGUCUGUGUGACUCCGCCCACUGCCAAUUCACCCAAUAGGAAUUUAUUCUAAGAAUAGUGUUAUAAAAAUACCUUUUAAUAUGAAUAAAAACGUAUUAAUCUGAAUGUUUGAUAAAUGUACAGUCCAUAUCUGUAGCACAACUCUCCGUUCCUGUCAUUGUCUCUGUUUCACAGAUAGAUAUAUAAUAAAAAAGAGCUGUUUACUUCUGUAGACUCUGUUUACUUGUUCUAUCUAGUGCACUAGAAACAGCUAGGCUUACUCAUCAUGAAUCAUACAAAAGUUCAUAUUGACACCGUAAGAGUACACAUAGGAUGAAUAUAGAGAUGCAGUUUUACAGCUUUAGGAUUAGUUUCCAACUUUAUGAGUAAAGAAAAGAUGCAUCUCUAGCCUAUAAAGACAGUACACCCUUUUUUUUUUGCAUGCAAAAUUUUACUGAAAUGCUGCUGUUGUGACCGCACUUUCAGAAAUACAAAAUGAACAGAAUGCUAAUAUGAUAACUUUUUAAACACUGUAGGCAAGAGCAUAUUUUUGCGCAUAAAUCACUGAAAAAAGUACUUCAUGAAUGCAUGUUGGCUUAUUGAAAACUAGCCGUUUAUUAAAAGAAUAUAAUGCUAAACUACAAUAAGAAUACUUAUUAAAACAAUCACAAUUUUAGGAUGUUUACAUUGUCUUUCUAAUCUGAACACGUUUGGCAAAAACAAGCAACAACUAAUCAUUACUUACUAACGAGUGCACUUGUUUCAAUUGAAGACUGCAUCAUUGAACUGACCUUAAAUAAUACAGUUACAAAACAACUUCUGGAUGAUUUAAAAAUAUAUAUAUAUAUAUUGGAAAAUAAAUGCUUUGAAUGUAUUAAUCAGUAACCUGAUUGAGGUCAUGCUGUGACAAGUUGAAAAUGCAUGCAUCUGUUCAGUGCAUUAAUGCACAAACGGCUGCGCCCAGUCAAACUCUCAGUUCACACAAUCCACUGGGCUUCCAAAUAAAGUCAAGAUUUAAAAAAUGAAACAUUUAAAAGGAAAGUUCACAAGGUAAUGCACAUUUAAGUGUAGCAAAGGCAGCUCAACGAUAGAAUUGAUAUGCAAUGAAUAUGAAUAUAACAUCUUAAAGAGGCUUAUAAUGGUUUAGCGUUAAUGAACGCUGUUUUCUUUGGAAUGCACUCGAAGAAUAUAAAAACAGAGUUCAUUCCUUCACUUUUAAAAGAAAUCCUCACAUUCCUUCAGUGUCUUAUAAAUAAAAGACGGAAUAAAUAUUCACUUAAAUCAUUAUCAUAAAGCACAAUCACUUUUAAACUGCUGCUUUCGCACAAAUAAAACUGAUUUGAAGUUGUUUGGUAGGUGGAUUGUCAUUUUCUUAAAGUGACAGUGCACCGAUUUUUUUUUUUUUUUAUUCUGCCAUAUAUUCCAUAUCAAAUUGUGUUACAUCUGUAAUAGUUUCUGCUGAACUCAGUAAAAUAAAUAUUGAAUAAUGCUGGAAGCCAAACAGUUUCCGGUCCCUAUCGACAUUCUGCAAACUAUCGUUUUUUAUUUUAAUUUUUUUGUAAUUUUUGGGUGUACUAUCCCUUUAAAUUGGCCAGUGGGAAUACUGGUAAUGUAAAUGGAGAGGAUCUGAAAGCGGUGUGAGCUGAUCCGUGCAGCAUCACCGUGACAAACCUGUAAUAAGGCGACGGAAUUUGGGGUUUUGACACGGAUAUCCCUCGUCUAAAGGCAGUGAGGUAA